rnacentral:rRNA from 1 species
CCCUUAGAUGUUCUGGGCCGCACGCGCGCUACACUGAUGCAUUCAACGAGUCUAAAACCUGCUCUGAUAGGGGUGGGUAAUCUUUUGAAUGUGCAUCGUGAUUGGGAUAGAUGAUUGCAAUUUUUCAUCUUCAACGAGGAAUGCCUAGUAAACGCAAGUCAUCAGCUUGCAUUGAUUACGUCCCUGCCCUUUAUACACACCGCCCGUCGCUCCUACCGAUUGAAUGAUCCGAUGAAUAUCAUGGAUUGAGGAUUAUAGCAGGUUCGCCUGUCUUGAUCUUCGAGAAGUGAAGUAAAUCUUAUCAUUUAGAGGAAGGAGAAGUCGUAACA